rnacentral:sRNA from 1 species
AGCUGUCACGCUUGCCCACGGCACGCGACAGCUGUUCCCCUCUGGAGGUUUUGACCUUCAAACUUGUCAGGCCGCGGAGCAAUCCAGCGGCCUUCUUU